CCUACGGGAGGCUGCAGUGAGGAAUAUUGGUCAAUGGGCGAGAGCCUGAACCAGCCAAGUCGCGUGAGGGAGUACUGCCCUAUGGGUUGUAAACCUCUUUUGUCGGGGAGCAAAAGCCGGACGUGUCCGGCUGUGAGAGUACCCGAAGAAAAAGCAUCGGCUAACUCCGUGCCAGCAGCCGCGGUAAUACGGAGGAUGCGAGCGUUAUCCGGAUUUAUUGGGUUUAAAGGGUGCGCAGGCGGAUUUUUAAGUCAGCGGUAAAAUCGUGGGGCUCAACCCCAUCCAGCCGUUGAAACUGGGGAUCUAGAGUGUGCGAGAGGUAUGCGGAAUGCGUGGGGUAGCGGUGAAAUGCAUAGAUAUCACGCAGAACCCCGAUUGCGAAGGCAGCAUACCGGUGCACAACUGACGCUCAGGCACGAAAGCGUGGGUAUCGAACAGGAUUAGAUACCCCGGUAGUC
rnacentral:rRNA from 1 species